AGCAGCCGCGGUAAUUCCAGCUCCAAUAGCGUAUAUUAAAGUUGUUGCAGUUAAAAAGCUCGUAGUUGAAUUUCGGGAUCAAUGCUUCGGUCAUGCCGUUGGUAUGUACUGAUAUUAUUGAUUUCUCACCUUCUAAAGAACCGUAAUGCCAUUAAUUUGGUGUCACGGGGAAUUAGGACUGUUACCUUGAAAAAUUGAGUGUUUAAAGCAGGCUCACGCUUGAGUACAUUAGCAUGGAAUAAUGAAAUAGGACAUCCGAUUCUAUUUUGUUGGUUUCUAGGAUCGAUGUAAUGAUUAAUAGGGAUAGUUGGGGGCAUUAGUAUUCAAUUGUCAGAGGUGAAAUUCUUGGAUUUAUUGAAGACUAACUACUGCGAAAGCAUUUGCCAAGGAUGUUUUCAUUAA
rnacentral:rRNA from 1 species